rnacentral:lncRNA from 10 species
GAGGUUGGGGAAUGGAGGUGCCUCAGGGGAGGAUAAGGGCUCUGAGGCUGGAGGGGAGAGGAUGAAUCUCAGGCAUGACAAGCACCUCCACCUAAUAGCAGUCAUGAGGCUUUUGUGAGGAGGCAGAAUUCCAAGUGAGGAAGAAGUGCCGCGGCUGAGUUGUGAGUUUAGGUCACUGCCUCAUUCGCUGCCUGACUAUGGAUGGCUUACCAGGGCUCCCCAAGCCCCGGGCCGUGGACCAGUACCAGUCCAGUGGCCUGCUGGGAACUGCUCCACACAGUGGGAGGAUGGAAACUGAGGUGCAGAGAGUUUGACCCACCCAGCGUCAGCCAGCCAACAGUAGUGGAUUGGGGAC